rnacentral:rRNA from 1 species
UGGGGAAUAUUGGACAAUGGGCGAAAGCCUGAUCCAGCCAUGCCGCGUGUGUGAAGAAGGCCUUUUGGUUGUAAAGCACUUUAAGUGGGGAGGAAAAGCUUAUGGUUAAUACCCAUAAGCCCUGACGUUACCCACAGAAUAAGCACCGGCUAACUCUGUGCCAGCAGCCGCGGUAAUACAGAGGGUGCAAGUGUUAAUCGGAAUUACUGGGCGUAAAGCGCGCGUAGGUGGUUAUUUAAGUCAGAUGUGAAAGCCCCGGGCUUAACCUGGGAACUGCAUCUGAUACUGGAUAACUAGAGUAGGUGAGAGGGGAGUAGAAUUCCAGGUGUAGCGGUGAAAUGCGUAGAGAUCUGGAGGAAUACCGAUGGCGAAGGCAGCUCCCUGGCAUCAUACUGACACUGAGGUGCGAAAGCGUGGGUAGCAAACAGGAUUAGAUACCCUGGUAGUCCACGCCGUAAACGAUGUCUACCAGUCGUUGGGUCUUUUAAAGACUUAGUGACGCAGUUAACGCAAUAAGUAGACCGCCUGGGGAGUACGGCCGCAAGGUUA